ACCACUGCUUAUUCAGUGGUAGACUCAGUGGAAGACAAAACUUACCUUGUACUCGCUGUGAGCUCCCACACAUUAAGGGUCCACUAGAAUUCUGUGAUCAUGAGAUAUGAAUGCUAUAUGAAAAUGGCAUGUUAAGGAACAGCAGAGGAGAUGCAUAUUGUGUGUAUCUCCACUGUUCAUGCGCAUGCACCAUUGGACUUCAUUUACAGAACAUGAGUUCAAAGAUAAGAUGAUUAAGAAUUUUAAAACAGCAACAGCAAACAUUAAACCCCAAUUGUGGGGCCCUUCUGAACAAAGAUCACACACCCUGAAGCUGGUCCUAUGGGUGGAGAAUGGAGCAUGAACAUUUUGGCUCAGCUCAUCAUGAAGAAUGUCCAUGUGACUUUGGUUAAUAAAAUUGACUAACAAUAUCCAGAUGGUGGGGUCUCCAUCAGACUAGGUUCCUGAGUGAGAAAAAUGUGAAACACAACCCCCCACCUUCCCACCUACCUGGAGUGGACAUGCAGUAAAAGCAGAAAAUAAACUUUUUUUGGUAAAGAUUAGGGGGUUAUUUGCUAUUGCCUAAAUUAGUACAGUGUUAUUACUGCUUUUGUUCUCAGGAAUGUAGCAUUUAAAAUAAUACCACAGCUUUAAAUUAUCCUUAGAAUAACCAUAAAACAUAUAUUUUAAAAAACAAAAUCUGUAACUUUUU
rnacentral:lncRNA from 1 species